ACUUAACCAAAGAUAGCUCAGUUGGUAGAGCAUGAGGCUCUGGAUCUCAGGGUCAUAGGUUCAAGCCCCAAGUUGGGCA